GCGAGAAACCUCCGCAAUACACGAGAGUGUGACGGGGUUACCCAAAGUGUUCAAUUUUGAACUGUGGUAGGUGAGUAAUGUUCCCUACUAGAAAGGAGAGGGCAAGGCUGGUGCCAGCCGCCGCGGUAAAACCAGCUCUCCAAGUGGUCGGGAUAAUUAUUGGGCUUAAAGUGUCCGUAGCCGGUUUGGUAAGUUCCUGGUAAAAUCGGGUAGCUUAACUAUCUAUAUGCUAGGAAUACUACUAUACUAGAGGGCGGGAGAGGUCUGAGGUACUACAGGGGUAGGG
rnacentral:rRNA from 1 species